GCAUUAGCUGGGAGACUGCUUGGGUAGCCUGGAAACACAACCCAGCGUAGUUCUUCUAAUUGCACUGUAGCUCUUGUCAGGACUGUGCUGAAUUUUAAGAGAUCUGAAUUUGGCUGGGGAUGAGCAAGCAGCUGUAGCCUUCAAACAUUCUUCUUGAGAAUUCUACAGGAGAUCUGAGCAAAAGAGAAUAUCUGAUUAAUCACCCUGUCCCAAACCAGCCACAGGAAGUCAUUGCUUCUGUUCAGCACAGAAAUACCUAUGUUCAAGGCAGUCAGCAUUGCAGUGGUGGCUCUUGUUUUGAGAAUCUUUCAGACUGAUCCUCCGUCUGUAUUAGGAAUCAAAACAAAUUCAAGCAGAAGAUCUCAAAAGAAUGAGAUGCAGGACUGAUACUACUCAAGUACCAGCAGAGGGAGAUGACUGCAGUGAAGACAAUUUCAAAACGUGGCAGCAGUGUUUUACUGCAUCCAGGAAGAUAAUGAAAUGUCAUCAAGUAGGAAUAGUAAGAACCAAAUAAGAUAUAUUCAAGUAUCCAAACAACCCAGGGGACAAAAGUUCUUUUCUGUAUAUGUAGUGUUGCUUCUCUCAAAAAAUGUUACUCCUCUUAAAAAUGGCUACAGUGAAAAAAAUCAGUCAGAAAGCACCAUUUUAAUUUUGGUGCAAGUGACACAGUGCUUCCAAGAUGUGAUUCUGCUCCAGUUGAACUCCCUCUUUGGAAUGCUGCUCAGGCAGCUGGUGUAUCCUGCCACUGCAGCCAUGCUCGUCCAUCAAACUCAAGGAAAAGGCCUCUGAGAUUUCAGUCUGGUGGCUUCGGUGCAGACCCAGCUUCAUGGAUUUGAUACAGUUCUUAGGUAAUGUUACCUCCUACUCUGACACAUCAGCACAAUGUCUUUAAAAUAUAUUUUAUUUGAACAUUUUUAUGGUUGGCCGUAGAAGUUAAGCAAAGAUAUGGCAGUGUUAUCAUUCUGAACCAUGGCGUUGCCUUUCUAGGAGAAUUAGGGUAAUUCACAUAACGGAACAUAUAGAGGCUGCUUCAGUCUUCAUGCAGGAAUUACAAAAUAGUUACACCAUAAAAAAAAAGUCAUUUUCUCAAUAGUAUGUUUCAAAAUAGUCUCUUGUGAAAUAGUCUUUCUGUGCUGUUGCUUACUUGAUGGUUUUUUUGAUUGCUGUGUUAAACAAGGAAUAGGCAUCAGCAAGAUACACAAUUAAAAUGACCACAUAAAAGGGGAUUACUAUUAAGGAGGAUUAAGAGAGGAGGAUUCUAAAUCUAGCUAUAUAAAUAAGGACUAUAAAUGUAACUCAGUGCAUGCAUUUAUCUGAUUGGCAGAAAUAAUGUAGGAGUCAGCUGAGUAAUGUUGAAAUGUUCUCUUAUAUUGUGCACUUUUAUCAGAUGUAUGCUGAGGAGUUCAGGCUCUAUCCUGACACAUAAAGUGUCACUUUAUGUGCAUUAUGUUGGUGUAAUGAGCCUGAAGAAGAGAUAUUUGGGAAAUGAAUCUAUAAGCUUUGUUGUAAAAAAUCUGAGCGUCUUUGUGCCCUUCAUUUACAUGGAUAUACUGAUUGAAAUAGGAUAGAGUGUGAAUAAUUUUGAUGACUAAUUCAACUAUUGCUCUACUAACUUUAUAUUUCUUUCUGUUCUGUCACAUUAUUUCACCUCUGUGUAUGGCCAUGCCAUCUCCUCUGCAAUUCUGGACAUACAGGUGGCUUCCCUACCACUCUACCCUUGCCUGCCUUAUCUCCCCAAGGUUGUGCCAACAGUAAAAGGCAAGAAUUCACAAAGAUACAAUUACUUCUAACAUAGAAAUAGGCAUAGAAGACAUCAAUCUGUGUAACAGUUUUGGAUAAUGUGCUAUGUAGUAAAUGGCUCAGUAUUAUCUCUUUAAGGUAAUACUGGAAAAAGUGGAGCUACAUUCUUACUGCCAUCUAAACCCAUGUCACUGUGUAUGUGAAUUGCCUAUCCUGCAGUUCAGAAUUUCUAUGUAAAAAAUGAGGAAAGAGAAGUCACAGUCAUUUGAGAGGUUUAUUUGAAUAGAACUGGCCACUCAUUUCUAAUCUGGAAACUGGGGUAGCCACAAAGGUUGAUUUCUUCCAAGCACGCUUCAGUCAGUAGGAGAGGGAAGCCUGAAAAACACUACCCUGCUAUUUGUGAAGAGCUUUCAGAGCCCCAUGCUCAGCUGGAAAAGCUGAAAAGCAAACUAGCUGUGCUACAUGUCAGAGGGAAGCAGAAGGCACCAGCAGGUACCUUUGAAAAUUUUGACCCUAGGAGGGCAACUUUAAUAGCAAAACUCAGAAGCAAAGCACUUGACAAAGUAUCUUGAUUCGCUUUUUGUUUCGUCUUUUGAUUCCUAUAACGUAAAUGAUAAAAUAAAAGAAUGAACUAAAAGAUAUAACCAGCCCAUCAAUAAACGAGAUACAGGAAUGCAGUUGCUGACAUUGCUACCUGUGUUUUGCCUCUAUUCUGGCAAACAGAUUGGCAAUUCUUUAGUUAGCAUUAAAUUCAGCUGGAGAGCUUAAAAAGCUCCAUAACGAUUAAUUAGCUCAGGACCCAUUCCAAACUUAUGCAAGCAUGAAACAGUUGCACUAUGUCUAAGACUGAACAUUCCUGAGGCCAUAAAAUUAAUUUAAUUCAAAAAACAUGGAAUGGGUUUAUUCCCAAAGACAAUUUCCCUAGUAGCCCAGUAGCUGUAAACUAAUGUAGUCUGUGGAUUUGAAAUCCAAUUUUCUUCCUUUUCAUUGUUACAUAGCUGUAGCAACAGGUCAUAUGAUCUUCCUUCUCUUUACUUCCAUGGCCAGUAAACCAGAAUAUUUUUACAGUGAUGACUAAAGUGCCUUAAGUAACAUCCAGGUCACUCAGCUGAAACCAGAACUGAUGGAAGAUGGAACCGAAAAUAGCACUUCUAGUUGUCUAGAUGGAUAUUAGGCUGUUUCAUCUUGCACUCUAUGUGUACAAAGCUGAGUUAUCUGAAAAAUUAUCAUAUGCCUAUUUUUUGUGAAUACUUAGAUACCUAUUGUCAUGUAAACCAUGAUCUUAGGCUGUUUCAUCUUGCACUCUAUGUGUACAAAGCUGAGUUAUCUGAAAAAUUAUCAUAUGCCUAUUUUUUGUGAAUACUUAGAUACCUAUUGUCAUGUAAACCAUGCUCAAUAUAUUAAAAAAAAGCUGUGUAACAUCACAGGGGUAUUUCCAGUGGGGUUUUUUAAUACUGGAAAUAACAGAAUUAACAUAUUGUGGCUUUCUAUAUUAUUUUCCCCUUUGAAUGAGAUACAAACUUCAAGUAUUUCCAACAGUUCUGUUGCAUUGGGAUGCUCUGGUGACUAAUGACUCCUUCACUCAGGCUCU